rnacentral:lncRNA from 1 species
CUUCUAAGAACAGUAACACGUUCAGCAUUCCUGGCAGGACCAGAUCCUCAUGGAACCUAUUCACCCUGGCUCUCCUUUGCCUUUGUGAAGCUUCUGCUCAUAUCCAGCAGUUUUUCUGAUUUGAUUUGAUCCAGAAUUGAUUUCCUGUGGUGUGUUUAUGAAGACUGUAACUGAAGAUUUUAGGAAAAGCAGUGUAAAAUGUUCAGAGAACAUCCACUGGUCUUGGGGUACCACUAACUGACUUUCGAAUACAGGUAA